UCCUUACUUCCACACAGUGUGUGAAAAAAUUGGAAUGAAACAGAGAAGAUUGGUGUGGCCCCUCCACAAACACGACAUGUAAAAAUAUCAUCAAAAACACUGGAACCCAAUUUGU
rnacentral:snRNA from 1 species